AUUGAACGCUGGCGGAAUGCUUUACACAUGCAAGUCGAACGGCAGCACGGGGCAACCUGGUGGCGAGUGGCGAACGGGUGAGUAAUACAUCGGAACGUGCCCAAUCGUGGGGGAUAACGUAGCGAAAGUUACGCUAAUACCGCAUACGAUCUACGGAUGAAAGCGGGGGAUCGCAAGACCUCGCGCGAAUGGAGCGGCCGAUGUCAGAUUAGGUUGUUGGUGGGGUAAAGGCCUACCAAGCCUGCGAUCUGUAGCUGGUCUGAGAGGACGACCAGCCACACUGGGACUGAGACACGGCCCAGACUCCUACGGGAGGCAGCAGUGGGGAAUUUUGGACAAUGGGCGAAAGCCUGAUCCAGCCAUGCCGCGUGCGGGAAGAAGGCCU
rnacentral:rRNA from 1 species